UACGUAGGGGGCUAGCGUUGUCCGGAUUUAUUGGGCGUAAAGAGCUCGUAGGCGGUGUGUCGCGUCGGUCGUGAAAACUUGGGGCUUAACCCUGAGCUUGCGGUCGAUACGGGCAUCACUGGAGUUCGGCAGGGGAGACUGGAAUUCCUGGUGUAGCGGUGAAAUGCGCAGAUAUCAGGAGGAACACCGGUGGCGAAGGCGGGUCUCUGGGCCGAUACUGACGCUGAGGAGCGAAAGCGUGGGGAGCGAACAGG
rnacentral:rRNA from 1 species